rnacentral:misc_RNA from 1 species
CAAUCUUAUCCCUUUGUUAAAGAUCCCCGAUACGAUAAUAGCGUACCGAUUACUUCAAAGCUGAAAGGAUAUAAACGAACGAAGAAUAACAAACCGUGGUAUCGUACGUACAACAUACCUUCGGUAGUUCUGGAUCGCCUGACUGAAAAACAGACUUAUAGAAAAAAAUACAGAAAACUGUGGCUCCUUAUUCCGCGAACGAUUCGCGUUUACGUAUUACAUGUUAUUAAAACGUUAUCUCGUUUAGCCUCGUCGCAAACGCGAUUGCGCGUUUACCCUAUAACCACGUAACAAAUUAAAAAAAAAAAAGAAGGAGAGGAACAGAAAGAAAACCGAGCGAUCAACACCAUUCUAUCGAGCUACGUAAACGAUCUCCGUUUUAUCUACUUUUUAUCCGUUGGACAAAAGCCGGUCGAGCCAGCGAAUGUGGAACACAGAUCGAAAUAAGAAGGGUGAAUGGGAGGUGGUGGGCAACAGGAAGGGGCGGUAGAUCCAUCACAAGUUAUCGGUGUCACGAAGAAGGCUGUCGUCGGACGAACACGAAACAUGGGCCCGCGUCACGAACACACAGUCCGGUCACAGAUUUAAAUAAUUCAUUAAAUCGCCACUGUCGUUUGCGCAAUGCGGUGUCCUCGGCGUGCGUUCCCGGUGCACACUCGAUACCGUCGUCAUUUGGCGGGAGAUCGGCGGAGAACCGUGUGCGUAUGUGUGGAGAACAGCACGUGACGGUAGGAAAAUUCGUCGCUAUAGACAGGUACACCGAUGAUGAUCGCCGAGUGGACCGGCGCUCGGCGAUCUCUGGAAUGAGCUUCGCUAGCCGGCACAUCGUCGGCGGACUCUUUUCCAUAGACGAAUUUUCCAUAUUAACCCUUUAAGUGGAAAUGACGAGUCUCGCCCGCGUACAUUUUCUAUACCAAGCUCGAUUUUGACGAUUUUAAAUGUUUAAAAACCAUACGAAUCUCUUCCAACUUAGAAAAAGGAAAGAAACUUGUGAUAUUUACGCGUUCUCUUGCCUUCUUUUCUAUUAAAUUUCGAUAUUUUCCGAAAUAUAUAAAUUCUUAUAUUGAUCAAUUUCUCGAUUUUGCUUGAUAUAAGAAUUUACAUAAAGUUGGACGAGCAAAAG